AUUGAACGCUGGCGGAAUGCUUUACACAUGCAAGUCGAGCGGCAGCGCGGGGCAACCUGGCGGCGAGCGGCGAACGGGUGAGUAAUGCAUCGGAACAUGUCCAUGUCGUGGGGGAUAGCCCGGCGAAAGCCGGAUUAAUACCGCAUACGCCCGAGAGGGGAAAGUGGGGGACUCGCAAGGGCCUCACGCGAUUGGGUUGGCCGAUGUCCGAUUAGCUAGUUGGCGGGGAAGAGCCCACCAAGGCGAUGAUCGGUAGCUGGUCUGAGAGGAUGAUCAGCCACACUGGGACUGAGACACGGCCCAGACUCCUACGGGAGGCAGCAGUGGGAAUUUUGGACAAUGGGGGCAACCCUGAUCCAGCCAUUCCGCGUGAGUGAAGAA
rnacentral:rRNA from 1 species